UACGGAGGGUGCAAGCGUUAAUCGGAAUUACUGGGCGUAAAGCGUGCGUAGGCGGCCUGUUGCGUCCGCUGUGAAAGCCCGGGGCUUAACCCCGGGUCUGCAGUGGAUACGGGCAGGCUAGAGGUAGGUAGGGGAGAAUGGAAUUCCCGGUGUAGCGGUGAAAUGCGCAGAUAUCGGGAGGAACACCGGUGGCGAAGGCGGUUCUCUGGGCCUUACCUGACGCUGAGGAGCGAAAGCGUGGGGAGCGAACAGG
rnacentral:rRNA from 1 species